GGGCCCUUAGCUCAUUUGGUAGAGCACCUGCUUUGCAAGCAGGGGGUGAUCGGUUCGAGCCCGAUAGGGUCCACGA
rnacentral:tRNA from 1 species